rnacentral:rRNA from 1 species
GACGUAGGGCGCGAGCGUUGUCCGGAUUUAUUGGGCGUAAAGAGCUCGUAGGCGGCUUGUCGCGUUGUUCGUGAAAACUCACAGCUUAACUGUGGGCGUGCGGGCGAUACGGGCAGACUGGAGUACUGCAGGGGAGACUGGAAUUCCUGGUGUAGCGGUGGAAUGCGCAGAUAUCAGGAGGAACACCGGUGGCGAAGGCGGGUCUCUGGGCAGUAACUGACGCUGGAGGAGCGAAAGCGUGGGGAGCGAACAGG